GCCGGUAUGGUGAAAUUGGAAGACACAACGGGUUUAAGCCCCGUUGAGGAAAACCUCGUGUCGGUUCGAAUCCGACUACCGGUAC
rnacentral:tRNA from 1 species